rnacentral:lncRNA from 1 species
UCUUUUCCCCUUCAACCAUUUAAAAAUGUAAAAAAACUAUUCUCAGCUUGUGGGUUUUACAAAAACAGGUGGCAGCCAGAUUUGGUAGUGGCCGGACUUUGCCACCUCCAGCCUGGAGUGUUUUGGGAAUUCCCCAUUCUGAAAUGGUCUCCAGUGUGGCUGCAGCACGUCCAUUUGACAAUCCUGACCUCGGUGGUGGCAAAUCUUCCUUGUUUCCUGGUGGAUUUAACUUUGCAGAAGGACCAGCAGACAUCCUGACCCAAACCUGAUGGAUGAGAUUGGUGUAAAGUGGAGAAAUUCUGUUUUGGAUUAAUCACAAGGAGAUUUAAAAAACGAGAGAUUUUCUGUAACCUCCUGCCCAGCUGGUAUGGCCUGAAAGCUUGUGUACUCCCAGAUUCAUAUGUUGAAAUCCUAACCCUUCAUGUGACGGUAUUUGGAGGUGGAGUUCUUGGGAGUUGCUGAACAGAAGUGAGGGAAGACGAUGCCAGUGACAGCAGAACAUUGCUGAGGGCUGCAGAAAUAUGACAGCCCCUGGGCCCCUGCACUUCCCCUCCCUGCACAGACAAGAGUAUGGUGAAGAACGGAAUGAAGUUAUAACGCUUGGGAAGUGGCCUGUGAGGCCUGAUGAGCCCAUGUUCUUUCUCUCACGUGGUUUUAAUGGAAGGUUCUGCAUUCAGCUGCACCAACACUGCUUGCAAACAAGAAAAGAACCGAGAGAGUGGAGAACACUGUGCAGGGACUUGGGUAUGGAUUCCAGGGAGUAUCUGGAAAUUCCCACCUCACAGGUCCAUCUCACCUGGUGGUUGUUCCUACUGAAAAAGGAUCCCGUGGUCCUGUGCCCUGAGGGCCACAAACAGCAUAAAUGUUCCAGAGCAGAGCCUGGAAGUGGGAGGGUACAGAGGGAAGACAUAAGAAGAUGGGGGUGGAAGCAUGAAGGGCAGUUCUAAAGUGUCUUGGGGAGAAUAGGAGAUAAAUUAGAUGAUAAUGCACAAGGCCAAGGGCAUGGCAAAAUAAGGAACCAAGAAGAAUGAAACCGAUUUGAUGAAGAUAAGGAUUAACAGUACACACAGUUAUGAAUAAAAGAUGCAUUAUGUAAUAAUUAGCAGGCAUCUAUAGGUUGGUGCAAAAGUUAUUGCGGUUUUUGCCAUUGAAAGUAAAUGCAAAAACUCGCGACUGCUUUUACAACAACCUAAUACAGCUUCUUUCACCAAGGAGCUUAAAUGUUUUAAAAUAAACAAAAUGUCGUUAUGCACCCUACCUCCCUCCGCAGUUUGGAGCCCUUCCUUUUCCAGAAUGAUGCAGCCCAGGUCCCCCUACCCUUUGUUCUCAGCAGCAAG